rnacentral:misc_RNA from 1 species
CAACCCUCAAGCUCAGCUUGGUAUUGGGUGUCACCUGGCAAUGGUGCACCUCAAAAUCAGUGGCGGUGCCAUCUGGCUUCAAGCGUAGUAAUUCUCUCGCUUUGGAGGUUUGGAUGUGUGCCUGCCAUCAACACCUAAUUUAUUAAU